rnacentral:rRNA from 1 species
GAUGAACGCUAGCGGCAGGCUUAAUACAUGCAAGGCGAAGGGGCAGCAAUGUCACUGUCGUACGGGUGCGUAACGCGUAUGCAACCUACCUAUCACUGGGGGAUAGCCCGGGGGAAACCCGGAUUAAUACCGCAUAAAACAGGGGCACCGCAUGGUGAUAUUUGUUAAAGAUUUAUUGGUGAUAGAUGGGCAUGCGUUCG